AUUGAACGCUGGCGGCAGGCUUAACACAUGCAAGUCGAGCGGGGUGAUGGUGCUUGCACUAUCACUUAGCGGCGGACGGGUGAGUAAUGCUUAGGAAUCUGCCUAUUAGUGGGGGACAACAUCUCGAAAGGGAUGCUAAUACCGCAUACGUCCUACGGGAGAAAGCAGGGGAUCACUUGUGACAUUGCGCUAAUAGAUGAGCCCAAGUCGGAUUAGCUAGUUGGUGGGGUAAAGGCCUACCAAGGCGACGAUCUGUAGCGGGUCUGAGAGGAUGAUCCGCCACACUGGGACUGAGACACGGCCCAGACUCCUACGGGAGGCAGCAGUGGGGAAUAUUGGACAAUGGGGGGAACCCUGAUCCAGCCAUGCCGCGUGUGUGAAGAAGGCCUUAUGGUUGUAAAGCACUUUAAGCGAGGAGGAGGCUCUUUUGGUUAAUACCCAGAAUGAGUGGACGUUACUCGCAGAAUAAGCACCGGCUAACUCUGUGCCAGCCGCCGCCGUAACAC
rnacentral:rRNA from 1 species